AAUACGUAGGUGGCAAGCGUUGUCCGGAUUUAUUGGGCGUAAAGCGAGCGCAGGCGGUUUUUUAGGUCUGAUGUGAAAGCCUUCGGCUUAACCGGAGAAGUGCAUCGGAAACCGGGAGACUUGAGUGCAGAAGAGGACAGUGGAACUCCAUGUGUAGCGGUGAAAUGCGUAGAUAUAUGGAAGAACACCAGNUGGCGAAGGCGGCUGUCUGGUCUGCAACUGACGCUGAGGCUCGAAAGCAUGGGUAGCGAACAGGAUUAGAUACCCUGGUAGUCCAUGCCGUAAACGAUGAGUGCUAAGUGUUGGAGGGCUUCCGCCCUUCAGUGCUGCAGCUAACGCAUUAAGCACUCCGCCUGGGGAGUACGACCGCAAGGUUGAAACUCAAAGGAAUUGACGGGGGCCCGCACAAGCGGUGGAGCAUGUGGUUUAAUUCGAUGCUACGCGAAGAACCUUACCAGGUCUUGACAUCUUCUGCUAACCUAAGAGAUUAGGCGUUCCCUUCGGGGACGGAAUGACAGGUGGUGCAUGGUUGUCGUCAGCUCGUGUCGUGAGAUGUUGGGUUAAGUCCCGCAACGAGCGCAACCCUUAUUGUCAGUUGCCAGCAUUCAGUUGGGCACUCUGGCGAGACUACCGGUGACAAACCGGAGGAAGGUGGGGAUGACGUCAAAUCAUCAUGCCCCUUAUGACCUGGGCUACACACGUGCUACAAUGGACGGUACAACGAGUCGCGAAACCGCGAGGUCAAGCUAAUCUCUGAAAGCCGUUCUCAGUUCGGAUUGCAGGCUGCAACUCGCCUGCAUGAAGUUGGAAUCGCUAGUAAUCGUGGAUCAGCAUGCCACGGUGAAUACGUUCCCGGGCCUUGUACACACCGCCCGUCACACCAUGAGAGUUUGUAACACCCAAAGCCGGUGAGGUAACCUUCGGGGGCCAGCCGUCUAAGGUGGGACAGAUGAUUAGGGUGAAGUCGUAACAAGGUAGCCGUAGGAGAACCUGCGGCUGGAUCACCUCCUUUCUAA
rnacentral:rRNA from 1 species